UACGGAGGGUGCAAACGUUGCUCGGAAUCAUUGGGCGUAAAGCGCACGUAGGCGGUCGGCUAUGUCGGAUGUGAAAGCCUCGGGCUUAACCCGAGAAGGGCAUCCGAAACUGGCCGGCUUGAGUACGGAAGAGGGUCUCGGAAUUCCCGGUGUAGAGGUGAAAUUCGUAGAUAUCGGGAGGAACACCGGUGGCGAAGGCGGCGACCUGGGUAGAUACUGACGCUGAGGUGCGAAAGCGUGGGGAGCAAACAGG
rnacentral:rRNA from 1 species